UGAUAGAGGCGCGGCUGACAUGAGCAGCUCCACAGACAGGCGAGGGGAAUCGCCGGAGCGAAGGGGGACGCCGCCGAAGGGCGCCGGCCUUCCCCGGACGGCGGCUCUGGGACGACGGAGAACAUCCGGCGGACUGUCGCGAAAGCGGAGCGCUGU
rnacentral:ncRNA from 1 species